rnacentral:rRNA from 1 species
CGGUAAUACGUAGGGUGCAAGCGUUAAUCGGAAUUACUGGGCGUAAAGCGUGCGCAGGCGGCUUUGCAAGACAGAUGUGAAAUCCCCGGGCUCAACCUGGGAACUGCAUUUGUGACUGCAAGGCUAGAGUACGGUAGAGGGGGAUGGAAUUCCGCGUGUAGCAGUGAAAUGCGUAGAUAUGCGGAGGGACACCAAUGGCGAAGGCAAUCCCCUGGACCUGUACUGACGCUCAUGCACGAAAGCGUGGGAGCAAACAGGAUUAGAUACCCUGGUAGUCCACGCCCUAAACGAUGUCAACUGGUUGUUGGACGGCUUGCUGUUCAGUAACGAAGCUAACGCGUGAAGUUGACCGCCUGGGGAGUACGGCCGCAAGGUUGAAACUCAAAGAAAUUGACGGGGACCCGCACAAGCGGUGGAUGAUGUGGUUUAAUUCGAUGCAACGCGAAAACCUUACCUACCCUUGACAUGUCAAGAAUUUUGCAGAGAUGUGAAAGUGCUC